AGUAUUAUAGCUGAAUGGUAGAGUGCAUGCUUAGCAUGCAUGAGGUCCUGGGUUCAAUCUCUAGUAUCUCUA
rnacentral:tRNA from 1 species